UCCAGCCCCUGACUAAGUUUUCAAAAGUCCUUAGUCAGAGUUGAGAAACUUUAUAAAACCUUCACCACGAAUUGCUGGUCGCUCCAAUGAAGUCUGCCCUCACUGCCACUGGGCCUCUCUUCUAGUGAGACCUGCUGCGGAUGCCAUUUUUGCUGAGCCAGAGUGGCAGCCAUCUCCUUCUGGAUUCAAGAUGGCUGUCGAGCACGGCUCUCAGAACAAGCUUGUAGAAAGUGACACUGGAGCUGCGGUGUGUCAUGCUGUAUUUACCUUGUCUACCUCGCCUGCAGAUGCUCUUCGCAAUGAGUCACGAUCUUGGCCAAGGCCUCUGGCACAGUGUUAGCACUGGACCCUCCCCAAAACUGCGCUCAGAUAUCCUGCUGUUGCCCUGAGUCAUGGAGUUCCUGUGGGUAACACUCAGCAGCUCCAGCAGAUCAUAGAUGGGGUAGAUGUUAGGGGAUUUACAUCUCUCCGCGUGGCCCAGUUCCCAAGCCUGCAGCGUCAUCUCACCCCGCACGCCCAGGAGCAGCUGGCUGUCCCUUGGCUUUGCAGAGAGGGUCUUCUUGGACGUCAAUCCCAGGUUCCUUUCUCAGUCCUAUAGCCCAUCAAGAACCUUUUUAGGCUACAUCAUCUUGAGAGAAAUGAGGAGACCAAAACCAGGAUAUAAGAUUCAAC